AUUGAACGCUGGCGGCAGGCCUAACACAUGCAAGUCGAGCGAGCGGCGGACGGGUGUGUUAUGCCUGGGACUUGCCCAGUCGAGGGGGAUAACCGUUGGACACGACUGCUAAUACCGCAUACGAUUGUAUUCCCCAGGUGGGUUUAGCUAGUUGGUGGGGUAAUGGCUCACCAAGGCGACGAUCCCUCGCUGGUCUGAGAGGAUGAUCAGCCACACUGGAACGGAGACACGGUCCAGACUCCUACGGGAGGCAGCAGUGGGGAAUAUUGCACAAUGGGCGAAAGCCUGAUGCAGCCAUGCCGCGUGUGUGAAGAAGGCCUUCGGGUUGUAAAGCACUUUCAGCGAGGAGGCGUUACUCGCAGAAGAAGCACCGGCUAACUCCGUGCCAGCAGCCGCGGUAAUUC
rnacentral:rRNA from 1 species